GACAAGUUGGCCGAGUGGUUAUGGCGUGUGACUCAAGCGCAAGCUUACCAGUGCAUACUGGCGCAUUCUCAUGGGCUUUGCCCGCGUGGGUUCGAAUCCCACACUUGUCA
rfam:Stagonospora sp. SRC1lsM3a unplaced genomic scaffold IQ06scaffold_14, whole genome shotgun sequence.